GAUCAAAGCAUGCUCCGCCCACUUUCAGGUGCUGCCCCGCCUCCCAGAACUAUGGCUGCCGCAGUGUGAGGAAACCUUUACCGUGUUUUACGACCUACUACAAUGGCAUGUUCGCUUGGUGCUGCCCCCUACAGAAGAUUGCAGUCAGCAACUGUAACUGCGGGAAGUGCGCCGUGUUUUACAAAGACUGUUUCUACACCGGCCAGUGCCAGAGACGCUACAGCUACACCCACUUUGCUGCCGUCUGCUACGUCAAGUGGUGGGGGACCAUCCUCCAUUUCGCCAGGUACCUGCCCACCAGCUGCUACUGUAGGCAGGUCUAGGAGCAGACGAUUUGAAAUGUAUUCAACUGACAUAUUUUUCUGGCAACUUUUAGAGUAGAAAAACUCACUGGCUUUUUUUUGUGAUCGAACAUUUCACAAUUCAUUAAAAAUUUGAUAAACUGAGUAUUUUUAAAAUUUCCAAAGCCCUCGUGUUCAGAUUAUAGUAAAUUUUGUAGAAAAAAUAUUAUUCAAUGAUAUUUAUUCCCUUGUAUUUGAUGUCUCUAAGUUUCUGAAAUAAUAAGCCACACAGUUUAUAUUUACAUUGUUGAUACUGAGUGAAAAUUGUUAUUGAUCAACAUGCAUGCCAUAUAUCAUUUCAUUGCGGUAACUUACUUACGUAGACUGUCUUAAUUAAGUGUGUCUUCAUCACUGAGGUCUUAAUCCAGACGUUUGCAACUUGAAUGAAAGGUGUUCUAUAAAAGUGGCCUAAGGUUUCUGUGGUUAUCACUAAUACAACUUUGAUGUUGUUAUGACACUGUUGAUGUUAUGAUUGUUUUCAUUAAAACUUCUUGAAUUAA